UCCCGCCGGAGUGGUACCUAUUUAUCUACUUGCACUGGCGUGCUUUCGAGUUGGUAGGUUGGCAGGAGCUGGGACAGAGCAACGGGAGCUCACCCCGUCGUGGAGAUUCAAACUGCUGACCUUCUGAUCGGCAAGUCCUAGGCUCUGUGGUUUAACCCACAGCGCCACCCGCCUCACCAAAAAUCAAUGUACUGCACUAUAAAAUAAAUAAGACAGUAUUGUAGAUGUUAAAAAUUAAAAUUAAUUAUAUUUUUUUACCUGCACUGAUGAUAGUCAUUGUUUGGAUGGGAGGCUUUUAUCAAUUUCUGCAGUCACACAGUCAAUCAAUCAGUAGCUGAACUGGGUUCCACACAGUCACAAAAACAAAUUAACCAAAAAAGCUUCAAAAACAAAAGUGCCAAACUUAAUCUGUUCUGGAAGUCCGUUGACUUCCAAAAUGUUCAAAAACCAAGGCACAGCUUCUGAUUGGUACAGGCGCCCUGGAAACAAUAGCUGACAGCCACAUCGGACAUUUGGCUUCUGAAAAACGUUUGAAAACUGGAAUACUUACUUCCGGGUUUUCAGCAUUUGGGAACCAAGGUGUUUGAGAACCAAGGUACCAUUGUACUUCCUUCUCACCAAAUCCCAGUUCUGUCUUGAUGUGCAGUUGCCAGAACAAUGGUUGGACUGCACUCAUAUGUAUACUUAAGUAAAGGGACCCCUGACCAUUAGGUCCAGUCGUGGCCGACUCUGGGGUUGCGGUGCUCAUCUCACUUUAUUGGCCGAGGGAGCCGGUGAACAGCUUCCGAGUCAUGUGGCCAGCAUGAAUAAGCCGCUUCUGGCGAUCCAGAGCAGCGCACGGAAACGCCGUUUACCUUCCCGCCGGAGCGGUACCUAUUUAUCUACUUGCACUUUGAUGUGCUUUCGAACUGCUAGGUUGGCAGGAGCAGGGACCGAGCAACGGGAGCUCACCCCGUCGCGGGGAUUCGAACUGCUGACCUUUUGAUCAGCAAGCCCUAGGCUCUGUGGUUUAACCCACAGCACCACCCGCGUGCCAUAAACACCAUAUACCUACCUUGGAGUAAUUAUUAUUGAACUCAGUGGAAAUUACUUUUGAGUAGACAUGAAUCAUUCUCUCGGGUUAUUACACUGUGCCUUCUUUUAAAAACCCACACAGAGUUCUCCCUAUGAUCCCUGGAGGAGGAAAAUCAAUAGCCGAAUAUCACUGCCGCGGUCUUAGGUGGGUGAUGGAUUGGGAAGUCCUGCCCGUAAUGAAGCAGUAAAGUCGAGCAGAAUGGAAAAUAUUUCAUUAGACGACACAUAAAUUCAGGCUUUAUGAUGAUGUGUGUAAGAGAUUUGGGAGUACCGUGGCUCCUUUCUGUCAUUGCAAACUUGGGAAGCUCUCAAACUGGGCCUCCGAAACUUCGAGAUGAGACCGAGUUUAUAAAGUAGCAAAUCUGGCAGGUAAUGCUGCUCAAAAUGAGGAGAUUAGAAUAAGGCACUUGCUUGCACGAGAGUUGAGAUCGAUAAAAAAUAUGUGGAGCUGAAUCCCAAAUGGGUUUCUGCAAAGAGAAACUCAAAAUAGAUCCAUGAUUAUUACAGAGCUGGCUAAACCAGUGAGAUAGAAUCAAAACAGGGAGGUAGUCACAGCCUCCAGUCUGCUUCAAGAGCUGACCGCCUGCAAUGUGGCCAAUCAAGUACAGUGGUACCUCGGGUUACAUACGCUUCAGGUUACAUACGCUUCAGGUUAUGACUCCGCUAACCAAGAAAUAGUACCUCAGGUUAAGAACUUUGCUUCAGGGUAAGAACAGAAAUUGUGUGGCGGCAGCAGCAGGAGGCCCCUUUAGCUAAAGUGGUGCUUCAGGUUAAGAACAGUUUCAGAACCUCCAGAACAAAUUACGUUCUUAACCCGAGGUACCACUAUAACCAAAAAGUAAAUGGCAAAUUAUGACUCCUCUUUGAAAUUGAUAAAAUAACAUUUUACCAGAACCUGACUGAAGACCCCAGUAAUACUUUCAUAGCACAUGGAAUGGUGUGCGCGAAUAUACAUCCACACUGUGCAAAAUGUACAUCCACAUUGUGCAUUAUAUGCUAAUGGGGGUGAGGGUAGCCAAUGGGUCUCAAACUUUCUGUGAGUCAGGGCAGACUAUGUGGAUGAGACCAAUAGUGGGUCCAACAGUCAAGAAGGUGGUUUCUGAAUGUGCUCUAGACAGUAGUGUGGGGCAUUUGGGGUUUGUCCACUUGGGAAGGUAGCCCAUCUAGGAGAAGGAAAACUCCGUUCCUAAGCUUCAGCUGCCUUACAUGAUAACUUCAGGAGAAGAAAAAGGCUAAGGCGUAAGCCCUACACCAGUCCAGAGUAGAGUUGCUGGGGUUGGAUAGAACCUUGUAAAAAAAAAUGUAAAGGACCCCUGAACAGUUAAGUCCAGUCAAUGGUGACUAAGGGGUUGCGGCGCUCAUCUUGCUUUCAGGCCAAGGGAGCCAGCAUUUGUCCACAGACAGAUUUCCGGGUCAUGUGGCCAGCAUGACUAAACCACUUCUGGCUCAAUGGGACACCGUGACGGAAACCAGAGCGCACAGAAACGCCGUUUACCUUCCUGCCACAGCAGUACCUACCUGUAUUUAUCUACUUGCACUGGCGUGCUUUUGAACUGCUAGGUUGGCAGGAGCUGGGACAAAGAAACAGGACAAAUUCGAAGCCCAAGAGGCAAGCCCAAGAGGCUCAGUGUGGAGAGCCAGUGUGGUGCAGUGGUUAAGAGCGGUAGACAUGUAAUCUGGUGAACCGGGUUCGCGUCUCCGUUCCUCCACAUGCAGCUGCUGGGUGACCUUGGACUAGUCACACUUCUCUGAAGUCUCUCAGCCUCACUCAUCUCACAGAGCGUUUGUUGUGGGGGAGGAAGGGAAAGGAGAUUGUUAGCCGCUUUGAGACUCCUUAGGGUAGUGAUAAAGUGGGAUAUCAAAUCCAAACUCUUCUUCUUCUUCUUCUCCAGUGGUUUAGACCACAGCGCCACCUGCAUCCCUGUAUGUCUCCUUCCAGCAACUUCUGCAACCAAGCUGGGGCCAAACGUUUUGCUCUGCUGUCUUUUGGAACACAUCAGCGAGACCGAGAGCAGAGUCUUGUCAUCUGGGCACUCCAGGACCUCCAUGCACACACCCCAGUCUUGUGCCCGGCCAGAGAGAUCACUUCGGUGCUGCUAACACAGCGGUUUGACUUCACCCUGGGAGGUGCACCCCAUUGUCUCUCCGAUUUGGCAGAGGCCAAAUAUCAAAAUGUUGUGGGUGAUGGUGCAGUUUGGCGAAAAGAAAUGUAGGUGCUUAACCCACAUGCCCCUUCUCUCCCCUCUUCCAGCUGCUUUUCUCCCAAGACAAAGCCAGGGACUUUACUUGGGAGGCAGGAAAGACACAUUUCCCCCCACUCUGUGUUCCUUCCUUCCAAAACCACAACACACAUACAUUUUACAUUUACAUUUUUACCCUGGAUUUCCGGUUCCAUCUCUCCACUUAACAUCUCAUUUGACCCUCAAUAAAGCUUCUCUCAUCAAUACAGUCUCCAUUCCCCCUAAUUCAUGGAGAUAAGGUAAUAUGACUUGUGUAAUAAACUUGCCCAUUAAACAUUUCUGCCAGGAAGCAUUCUGAGGAGAUUCCAAAUUAGAUUGGGGGGGGGUGGCAGCCACUGCUGGUGAUAACUUGGCAUAUACUGUCCUCUGGUGGCUACUUGGUUAUAGCUUUUCUCAUAUGAAUUGAGAGGGACACUCUCUCAUACUCAACGGACAGAGGAUCACUAUCGGAGUAAUCCAUUAUAUGUUGUUGAAGGCUCUUCUCUAACAGAUUUAUGCUGUAUUUAUUUAAUGCACAACAGCCUCCUGCUGUUGUUGAACUGAAUGUUUAAUAGAAUGUUUAGUCUUGCAAUGAAUCUGGUUGCAUUUCUAAAAGAGCUCCAACACAAACAUCAUUAUUAUUAUUAUUAUUAUUAUUGACUUGUAAACCGCCCUAUAGCCACAGGUCUCAGGGCAGUUACAACAUAAAAUCACAGUAUGAAAAUACAAAAUACGUAACAAAAAGAAAGAGAAAAACAACCCAAUAAAUCCCCUCCCCAACACUUUUUAUAAGGACAUUGGAUGUCAAUCAGUCAAAGGCUUGGUUAAAGAGGAAUGGUUUUGCCUGGCACCUAAAGGUGUAUAAUGAAGGCACCAGGCGUACCUCCCUGGGGAAAGCAUUUCACAAACAAGGAGCCACUGCAGAAAAGGCCCAUUCUCCGCUCGUGGAGGAGGCACACAAAGAAGGGCCUCAGAAGAUGAUCUCAGCGUCCAGGUAGGUUCAUAUGGAAAGAGGCAGUCCUUGAGGCAUUCUGAAACCUGUUUGCCAUUAUCUUGGGUGAAAACCUAGAUGAAGGAACUGUUCCACAAUCAUCUAGAUCAGGCAGAAACUACCUGGCUCCUGCUGGGCUCUAGCCUCCUGGACGUCCAGACAUAUUCUAGGCUCUACCUUCAAGUACUGGUUUGUUUGGGUUUUUUAUUCCAAGGGAAAUGGACGGAGUGCACAUGCGCAUUCAACUGCCGAACAGUGUUUAUCUGCAUCAUCUAGUAGACUGCAGCUGCAGAGAUAAGAAGAGUCAUCUCUUUGUAUGGAGAGGACACUUCCUGGUUUGCCAUUUUCAACGGAGCCCAGCAAGAGAAGUGCACAGGUGUAUUGAGGCAGCACCGCAUGUUGAAAUUUUGCACCCAUGAGAACUUUGCACCCGGAGCAACUGCCCCUGGGCUACGCCACUGUCUCCUUCCCAUCACAGUGAGGAGGAAGAGAAGAGAGUGCUGUGUUGCUGUUUUGCCAAUAUCUAUGUACUGGAAUGGAGGGGCUUAUCCACACUUCCCUUUGCCCUACCACUGUCCCCCAGGGAAACCCUAUCUCUAGCGCUGAACUGGAACAAACUGCAAUUGGGUUUUCUGCAGGUUGCUGUUUGUUCUGAUUUAGUAGUGGAAAGCAAUGGGGUAAAGGCAAAACCGCUCAGUCCCAUGCCCACAAAGCAUGAAACAGAAGCGUGGACAAGGAGAGAGAGAGAGAG
rnacentral:lncRNA from 1 species